UACGUAGGGGGCAAGCGUUGUCCGGAAUUAUUGGGCGUAAAGCGCGCGCAGGCGGUUCUUUUAAGUCUGGUGUUUAAACCCGAGGCUCAACUUCGGGUCGCACUGGAAACUGGGGGACUUGAGUGCAGAAGAGGAGAGUGGAAUUCCACGUGUAGCGGUGAAAUGCGUAGAUAUGUGGAGGAACACCAGUGGCGAAGGCGACUCUCGUGGGCUGUAACUGACGCUGAGGCGCGAAAGCGUGGGGAGCAAACAGG
rnacentral:rRNA from 1 species